rnacentral:rRNA from 1 species
GACGAACCGAGCGAACGUUAUUCGGAAUCACUGGGCUUAAAGGGCGCGUAGGCGGGCCGUCAAGUCGAGGGUGAAAUCCCCCAGCUCAACUGGGGAAGUGCCUCCGAUACUGGCGGCCUCGAGGGGGAUAGGGGCAUGCGGAACUUCCGGUGGAGCGGUGAAAUGCGUAGAUAUCGGAAGGAACACCGGUGGCGAAAGCGGCGUGCUGGACCUCUUCUGACGCUGAUGCGCGAAAGCCAGGGGAGCCAAACGGG